rnacentral:rRNA from 1 species
CCUACGGGGAGCAGCAGUGGGGAAUAUUGGACAAUGGGCGAAAGCCUGAUCCAGCCAUGCCGCGUGUGUGAAGAAGGCCUUCGGGUUGUAAAGCACUUUCAGUGGGGAAGAAAGCCUUGGGGCUAAUACCCUCGAGGAAGGACAUCACCCACAGAAGAAGCACCGGCUAACUCCGUGCCAGCAGCCGCGGUAAUACGGAGGGUGCGAGCGUUAAUCGGAAUUACUGGGUGUAAAGCGCGCGUAGGCGGUCUGAUAAGCCGGUUGUGAAAGCCCCGGGCUCAACCUGGGAACGGCAUCCGGAACUGUCAGGCUAGAGUGCAGGAGAGGAAGGUAGAAUUCCCGGUGUAGCGGUGAAAUGCGUAGAGAUCGGGAGGAAUACCAGUGGCGAAGGCGGCCUUCUGGACUGACACUGACGCUGAGGUGCGAAAGCGUGGGUAGCAAACAGGAUUAGAUACCCGAGUAGUC